rnacentral:rRNA from 1 species
GAUGAACGCUGGCGGCGUGCCUAAUACAUGCGAGUCGAGCGAACAGACGAGGAGCUUGCUCCUCUGACGUUAGCGGCGGACGGGUGAGUAACACGUGGAUAACCUACCUAUAAGACUGGGAUAACUUCGGGAAACCGGAGCUAAUACCGGAUAAUAUAUUGAACCGCAUGGUUCAAUAGUGAAAGACGGUUUUGCUGUCACUUAUAGAUGGAUCCGCGCCGCAUUAGCUAGUUGGUAAGGUAACGGCUUACCAAGGCAACGAUGCAUAGCCGACCUGAGAGGGUGAUCGGCCACACUGGAACUGAGACACGGUCCAGACUCCUACGGGAGGCAGCAGUAGGGAAUCUUCCGCAAUGGGCGAAAGCCUGACGGAGCAACGCCGCGUGAGUGAUGAAGGUCUUCGGAUCGUAAAACUCUGUUAUUAGGGAAGAACAAAUGUGUAAGUAACUAUGCACGUCUUGACGGUACCUAAUCAGAAAGCCACGGCUAACUACGUG